CUGCAAACCAAAAAAAAAAAAAAAAAAUCAUCCAGCAUUCCUUUUACAGCUAUUUACUGAUUCAGUAAGUAGUACCAUAAGGAAUGCAGCAUGAUUUUUUUUUUGCUUGUUGAUUUGUUAAAU
rnacentral:pre_miRNA from 1 species